CAGUAGCCGCGGGAAUACAGAGGGUGCGAGCGUUAAUCGGAUUUACUGGGCGUAAAGCGUGCGUAGGCGGCUUCCUAAGUCGGAUGUGAAAUCCCUGAGCUUAACUUAGGAAUUGCAUUCGAUACUGGGAAGCUAGAGUAUGGGAGAGGAUGGUAGAAUUCCAGGUGUAGCGGUGAAAUGCGUAGAGAUCUGGAGGAAUACCGAUGGCGAAGGCAGCCAUCUGGCCUAAUACUGACGCUGAGGUACGAAAGCAUGGGGAGCAAACAGGAUUAGAUACCCCUGUAGUCCCUGUCUCUUAUAC
rnacentral:rRNA from 1 species